GCCAGGACAGGAGAAGUUUAUCAUUUUGAACAGAUCAUGAUGUGUAGCUUAGAAAGUGGAAGACUGCUAACCCAUUGCUGAGAGAAGUACUACUGUAUGCAGAAUGCCGUAAAUAAGAACUCAGAAAAGAAACCAACAUGGGCGAGGAAGGAGUGAGAAUGAAGUUUUUGAGGGUCAGGAAUCUGGGAGUGGCUUAACUGGAUGUUUCUGGCUGAGGCUCUCUCAUGAGAUUGCAGAUUUACGUUUUUUUGGAAAGGAAUGGAUUUUGACGAAAAUAAAAAACAUGGGACAGAGGGUGGGCCUCUUCUAAUCAAUUGAAGACCUUAAAAGCAAUAGCUGAGGCUCCCCAGUGAAGAAGAAAUUUUGCCUCAAGAUUGCAACAUAGAAAUCCUGUCUGAGUUUCCAGCCUGCCCCUGUGGAAUUUUGAGCCAAGACUGCAACAUCAAUUCCUCCCUGGAUUUCCAGACUGCCGGCAUGCCCUACAGAUUUUGGACUUACUAAUCCCCACACCUGGUCAGAGUCUCAAAUGGAAUUCCGACCAGAAAGAGCAGAAGGGAUACAGUGUUUCUGCUCCAUCUAAUGGGCUCUCCUUGAGGCUGGACUGAAAGCAGCUGAGGAUCCUUCCAUGUAGAAACAAGGGGAAGAUGGGUUUAAUGAAAAGAGAAAUAAAAUCAUUUGAU